GAUGAAGAACGUAGCGAAAUGCGAUAAGUAAUGUGAAUUGCAGAGUUCAGUGAAUCAUCGAAUCUUUGAACGCACAUUGCGCCCGCUAGUAUUCUGGCGGGCAUGCCUGUCCGAGCGUCAUUUCAACCCUCAAGCCCCCGGGCUUGGUGUUGGGGAUCGGCGAGCCUCCGCGCCCGCCGUCCCCUAAAUCUAGUGGCGGUCUCGCUGUAGCUUCCUCUGCGUAGUAGCACACCUCGCACUGGGAAACAGCGCGGCCACGCCGUUAAACCCCCAACUUCUGAACGUUUGACCUCGGAUCAGGUAGGAAUACCCGCUGAACUUAAGCAUAUCAAUAAGCGGAGGA
rnacentral:misc_RNA from 1 species